rnacentral:rRNA from 1 species
UAGCGUAUAUUAAAGUUGUUGCAGUUAAAAAGCUCGUAGUCGGAUUUCGGGGCGGGCGCAGCGGUCUGCCGAUGGGUAUGCACUGUUGGGCGCGUCCUUCUUUCCGGAGACCGCGCCUACUCUUAGCUGAGCGGGCGCGGGAGACGGAUCGUUUACUUUGAAAAAAUCAGAGUGUUUCAAGCAGGCAGCUCGCUCUUGCAUGGAUUAGCAUGGGAUAAUGAAAUAGGACUCUGGUGCUAUUUUGUUGGUUUCGAACACUGGAGUAAUGAUUAACAGGGACAGUCAGGGGCACUCGUAUUCCGUCGAGAGAGGUGAAAUUCUCAGACCAAUGGAAGACGAACCACUGCGAAAGCAUUUG